CCUACGGGAGGCAGCAGUGGGGAAUUUUGGACAAUGGGCGAAAGCCUGAUCCAGCAAUGCCGCGUGAGUGAAGAAGGCCUUCGGGUUGUAAAGCUCUUUUGUCAGGGAAGAAACGGUGAGAGCUAAUAUCCCUUGCUAAUGACGGUACCUGAAGAAUAAGCACCGGCUAACUACGUGCCAGCAGCCGCGGUAAUACGUAGGGUGCAAGCGUUAAUCGGAAUUACUGGGCGUAAAGCGUGCGCAGGCGGUUUUGUAGGUCUGAUGUGAAAUCCCCGGGCUCAACCUGGGAAUUGCAUUGGAGACUGCAAGGCUAGAAUCUGGCAGAGGGGGGUAGAAUUCCACGUGUAGCAGUGAAAUGCGUAGAUAUGUGGAGGAACACCGAUGGCGAAGGCAGCCCCCUGGGUCAAGAUUGACGCUCAUGCACGAAAGCGUGGGGAGCAAACAGGAUUAGAUACCCUGGUAGUCCACGCCCUAAACGAUGUCUACUAGUUGUCGGGUCUUAAUUGACUUGGUAACGCAGCUAACGCGUGAAGUAGACCGCCUGGGGAGUACGGUCGCAAGAUUAAAACNCAAAAGGAAUUGACGGCNGAGAGAGCGAGGACGACACGAGGGAGGAG
rnacentral:rRNA from 1 species